GAUAAAUGUGGGACUUCUCAGAAGU
rnacentral:piRNA from 1 species